rnacentral:rRNA from 1 species
AUGUAGGUAAGGGAAGUCGGCAAAAUUGAUCCGUAACUUCGGGACAAGGAUUGGCUCUGAAGAAUGAGUCGGUCGGGCUGUGGUCUGAAGCGAGUUGUGCGCUGCACCGGGACUGGACACGGUGGACCUGGCGGGCAACUGCCACUACGCCGAGUUCGGACCAGCGUCAGUGUGUACUCGCGGAAAGCCUCAGCUACGCCUCCAUGAGCGGUGGCUCUCGCGGGUCGCCGUCUCUUGGCAGGAUCGUUUCGGCCGGCAAAAAACAUCGACUCAG